AUUGAACGCUGGCGGCAGGCCUAACACAUGCAAGUCGAACGAGUGGCGGACGGGUGAGUAAUGUCUGGGAAACUGCCUGAUGGAGGGGGAUAACUACUGGAAACGGUAGCUAAUACCGCAUACCAUCAGAUGUGCCCAGAUGGGAUUAGCUAGUUGGUGGGGUAACGGCUCACCAAGGCGACGAUCCCUAGCUGGUCUGAGAGGAUGACAAGCCACACUGGAACUGAGACACGGUCAAGACUCCUAGGGUAGGCAGAAGGGGGGAAAAUUGCACAAGGGGCGCAAGCCUGAGGCAGCCAUGAGGCGGGUAGGAAGAAGGCCUUCGGGUGGUAAAGUACUUUCAGAGGGGAGGCGUUCCCCGAAGAAGAAGCACCGGCUAACUCCGUGCAAGCAGGCGCGGUAAUAC
rnacentral:rRNA from 1 species